rnacentral:rRNA from 1 species
GAUGAACGCUGGCGGCGUGCCUAAUACAUGCAAGUCGAGCGAACUGAUUAGAAGCUUGCUUCUAUGACGUUAGCGGCGGACGGGUGAGUAACACGUGGGCAACCUGCCUGUAAGACUGGGAUAACUUCGGGAAACCGAAGCUAAUACCGGAUAGGAUCUUCUCCUUCAUGGGAGAUGAUUGAAAGAGGGGUUUGGCUAUCACUUACAGAUGGGCCCGCGGUGCAUUAGCUAGUUGGUGAGGUAACGGCUCACCAAGGCAACGAUGCAUAGCCGACCUGAGAGGGUGAUCGGCCACACUGGGACUGAGACACGGCCCAGACUCCUACGGGAGGCAGCAGUAGGGAAUCUUCCGCAAUGGACGAAAGUCUGACGGAGCAACGCCGCGUGAGUGAUGAAGGCUUUCGGGUCGUAAAACUCAGUUGUUAGGGAAGAACAAGUACCGGAGUAACUGCCGGUACCUUGACGGUACCUAACCAGAAAGCCACGGCUAACUACGUGCCAGCCGCCGCAGUAACAC